UACAGAGGUCUCAAGCGUUGUUCGGAUUCAUUGGGCGUAAAGGGUGCGUAGGCGGCGCGGUAAGUCGGGUGUGAAAUCUCGGAGCUUAACUCCGAAACUGCAUUCGAUACUGCCGUGCUUGAGGACUGGAGAGGAGACUGGAAUUUACGGUGUAGCGGUGAAAUGCGUAGAUAUCGGGAGGAACACCAGUGGCGAAGGCGGCUUCCUGGCCUGUUCUUGACGCUGAGGCGCGAAAGCUAGGGGAGCAAAC
rnacentral:rRNA from 1 species